AUUGAACGCUGGCGGCAGGCCUAACACAUGCAAGUCGAACGGCAGCACAGAAGAGCUUGCUCUUUGGGUGGCGAGUGGCGGACGGGUGAGUAAUGUCUGGGAAACUGCCCGAUGGAGGGGGAUAACUACUGGAAACGGUAGCUAAUACCGCAUAACGUCGCAAGAACAAAGGGGGGGACCUUCGGACCUCACACCAUCGGAUGUGCCCAGAUGGGAUUAGCUAGUAGGUGGGGUAAUGGCUCACCUAGGCGACGAUCCCUAGCUGGGCUGAGAGGAGGACCAGCCACACUGGAACUGAGACACGGUCCAGACUCCUACGGGAGGCAGCAGUGGGGAAUAUUGCACAAUGGGCGCAAGCCUGAUGCAGCCAUGCCGCGUGUACGAAGAAGGCCUUCGGGUUGUAAAGUACUUUCAGCGGGGAGGAAGGCGGUGAGGUUAAUAACCUUGCCGAUUGACGUUACCCGCAGAAGAAGCACCGGCUAACUCCGUGCCAGCCGCCGCAGUAA
rnacentral:rRNA from 1 species